GAUGAACGCUGGCGGCGUGCCUAAUACAUGCAAGUCGAGCGAACAGACGAGGAGCUUGCUCCUCUGACGUUAGCGGCGGACGGGUGAGUAACACGUGGAUAACCUACCUAUAAGACUGGGAUAACUUCGGGAAACCGGAGCUAAUACCGGAUAAUAUAUUGAACCGCAUGGUUCAAUAGUGAAAGACGGUUUUGCUGUCACUUAUAGAUGGAUCCGCGCCGCAUUAGCUAGUUGGUAAGGUAACGGCUUACCAAGGCAACGAUGCGUAGCCGACCUGAGAGGGUGAUCGGCCACACUGGAACUGAGACACGGUCCAGACUCCUACGGGAGGCAGCAGUAGGGAAUAUUCCGCAAUGGGCGAAAGCCUGACGGAGCAACGCCGCGUGAGUGAUGAAGGUCUUCGGAUCGUAAAACUCUGUUAUUAGGGAAGAAAAAAUGUGUAAGUAACUAUGCACGUCUUGACGGUACCUAAUCAGAAAGCAACGGCUAACUACGUG
rnacentral:rRNA from 1 species